rnacentral:rRNA from 1 species
GCGAACGCUAGCGGCGAGCUUAACACAUGCAAGUCGAACGAAGAGCUUCGGUUCUUAGUGGCGAACGGGUGAGUAACACGUAGGUUACGUACCUUUUAGUGGGGGAUAACCAAGGGAAACUUUGGCUAAUACCGCAUGAGGCCUACCAAGGUCAAAGUCGCAAGACGCUAAAAGAUCGGCCUGCGGCCCAUUAUUUAAUCCUAGUUGGUAAGGUAACGGCUUACCAAGGGUACGAUGGGUAGCUGGUCUGAGAGGACGAUCAGCCACACUGGGACUGAGACACGGCCCAGACUCCUACGGGAGGCAGCAGUGGGGAAUAUUGCGCAAUGGGGGAAACCCUGACGCAGCUACGCCGCGUGAGUGAUGAAGGCCUUCGGGUUGUAAAGCUCUGUCGGGAGGGAAGAAGGGAGCAAUCCUUGACGGUACCUCGCAAGAAAGCACCGGCUAAUUCCGU